AAUGAACGCUGGCGGCGUGCCUAAUACAUGCAAGUCGAACGGAGCGGCGCAAGGGUGAGUAAUGUAUAGAUAAUCUGCCCUACACUAGAGGACGACAGUUGGAAAAGGCUGCUAAUACUCUAUAUUGGAGGAUGAGGCUAUAUGGUAUCAGCUAGUUGGUGAGGUAAUGGCGCACCAAGGCUAUGACGCAUAACUGGUCUGAGAGGAUGAUAAGUCACACUGGAACUGAGACACGGUCCAGACUCCUACGGGAGGCAGCAGUAGGGAAUAUUGCUCAAUGGGGGAAACCCUGAAGCAGCACCGCCGCGUGGAGGAUGACACUUUUCGGAGCGUAAACUCCUUUUGUUAGGGAAGCGGUACCUAACGAAUAAGCACCGGCUAACUCCGUGCCAGCAGCCGCGGUAAUUC
rnacentral:rRNA from 1 species